rnacentral:ncRNA from 1 species
CAACCUGAACUCAGUCGUGAUUACCCGCUGAACUUAAGCAUAUCAUUUAGCGGAGGAAAAGAAACUAAAAAGGAUUCCCCUAGUAACGGCGAGUGAAACGGGAAGAGCCCAGCGCCGAAUCGAUCAGUCUUUGGCUGCUUCGAAAUGUGGCGUAUAGGUGUAGUCUUCCAGCAGUGUCGUAUGUCCGAAGUCCUUGCGAUUGAGGCCAUAAACCAGAGAGGGUGCGAGCCCCGUUCUGGAUAGCGGCGCUGUUGGUUCGACUGCUCCUUGGAGUCGGGUUGCUUGAAAGUGCAGCCUAAAGUGGGUGAUAAACUUCAUCUAAGGCUAAAUAUUGACUCGAUUGCGAUAGCGAACAAGUACCGUGAGGGAAAGUUGCAAAGGACUUUGAAGAGAGAGUUACAAGAGAACGUGAAAUCGCUGGAGUGGAACCGGAGACAGUUGAUGUUGCUUGGAGACAAUCUUGGUGGCUGAUCGCUUAGCUGUGAUCGCCGCCGGGAGUCGUUUCCUAUGCUACGCCGACGGCGUUGGCCGCUCGUUCUGGCCCGACAGUGUUGCCCAUCUCGCAAGAGACGGUGUCUUGUUGUCGGUCGUUGGUUCGUGGUGGCUAGCGUUUAGUUACGCUAGUGUGUGUGACGUCGGUGUGAAAGUCGACGACGUUUCCGACCCGUCUUGAAACACGGAUUACGGAGUGUUUGUCUGCUGCGAGUCAAAGGGUGUAAAAACCUUGCGGCGCAAUGAAAGUGAAGGUUAGUCUCGAACUGACCGACGUGGGAUCCGUGCUCUUCGGAGUGCGGCGCACCACGGCCCUAUGCGUGUCACUUGUGACUGUGUAGAGGUUGAGCAGUAGGCAAGCGACCCGAAAGAUGGUGAACUAUGCCUGAGCAGGAUGAAACCAGAGGAAACUCUGGUGGAAGUCCGUAUCGGUUCUGACGUGCAAAA